UCUGUCUGUCUCUCUCUUCAGCGUCUCUCUAUCUCUCCGGUGCUCCUCUCCCUUCCCUCGUGGUUGCCGGGAACCUGAGCAUCGAUUCCUACUCCUUUUGGUCACCGUCACCUGAGAUCCAUGAUGAGUUCAUGAACACUGAUUCAGAGCCAAGAUCUAGAACAACUCCGAGCCAAGAUCGAAGAUCUCAACUCCAAAGUCUCCUUCCUCAGAUUCUAGACUCCCUUCGAUGAUUACCACCAUCGCUCUACUCCUUGCUUCUCCGACAUCGUUUUAGUCGGUUCCAAUGACCAUUCCGGUAAACCCGCGUCUAACCCCAUUCCCGUCUCUGCCCAUAAGGCUGUUCUAAUCAUGAUCGCCCUUAGAGUAAGGCGGGACAAGCUGAUGCUAUUGAAGUUUCACACAAGCUCCAGCAGUUGGGUUGGAUUCCUGAGCUUAUUUUGUCCAGGUUAGGAUUCUCUAGAAAUACUUGCACAGUACUGAUGACCCCAUAAGG